CACUGACUGACUGUACACCCCGGAGGAUCGAGAUGGUGGUCUGUCUGUGGGAAGAGUGAGGAUUUGAAGUUCUGAUUCAAGGCAGGUCCUUUCCAGUAUUCCAGUCCAGUUUGACCAUCCGUGUUCCUGUCACCUGUUCGGCAGUAUUCCAUUCCUGGCUGUCUUGAAGGUGUCCAGUGUUGUCGUGUGCAGUAGUUACCAUCCAUAUCUACUCUGUUGGCUGACUUUUGGUGGUACAUCACUACGGUAUUCAGCUACUCCACAUCCAGCCCACUUUACAUUUUGACCACCGCAUACACUUACCUGAGCUCCACGCAAUCAACCUACAGUGGCAUCAGGAUGCUGAUCGACGGGAUCUCGGCCGCCGAUGCCAGUGGGUGCCAAAAUCCUGUCAAAAAAAGUCUAUUGAUACAAAUUCCAGAGUUUUGGGGUUUGUUUAUGCUAAUCGAAGAAAAACUCCUGAUUCCUGACAUCCCGAAGUGAAAAGUCGGCUGCAGGAAAAUCAGCUCCAGAUGCUUGAAACCGCUUAUUGGUGUGAAUAGAAAUUAAGUGUGUAUGUGUGUGUGUGUUUAUGUAGACGCAAGUAUAUGCAAAUUAUCAUGUACAGCUGUCUGAUGGUGUGCAGUGAUGUCAUCACUUAUGUUAGAAAACAGUCACUUAUGUCACAUGAUAUAUUGGUAGUGUGCCCUGGCAGAAUGAAUGAGUGUCAGUGAAAAACACACCUGGUUAUGAGACUGGAACUUUGCAGGCCGCUUGAUCUGUUUCAGCAAAGGGCGAAAGGCCCUUUGGCUGACAAAACAAAUUAUUAUUAUUAUCCUUUACUUAUAUGGCGCCACAAGGGAUCCGCAGCGCCCAUUACACAGUACACAAUCAAAUGAGCAAACAAGAAAACAACACUUACAGUUCAAGACAAUAUAGGACAGGUAUAGAAAACCCGGGGUUAGGUGCCAUCAAACGGAGUAUGGAGCAUAAGAUAGUGUAAGAAAGAAAAGGAAAGGCACAUAAGGAAAGAAGUCCCUGCUCUUGGGCACAUGAGGAAAGAAGUCCCUGCUCUUGCUAGCUUACAAUCUAAAAUACACGUUAUAGGGCUUUUCGUAGCUUUCCCCUAUACAUGAUAGGCUGACGGCGUAAUAAAGCGCAGAUAUAACCGGCACUAGCCACUGCAGCUAAUUAUUACAAUUAAAAAUAUAUAUUUUUCCACAUUAGUGGAACUGAAAGCACAAAUCUAGUCCUUCAGAUCCACCGCUAAUAUGCGCGAGUUGGCACGUCAGCCGACACAUGCAUACGUCUGCAAAAGCUGACUUUGUGUAGCGAUAAAUUAGCCCUUACUACUCCAUCUCAGUACUGUUGCAGCAGCUGGUUAUAGCUCAACAUCCCUGCAGUAUUAACUUGAUAAAUUGAGCAAAUAAGCGAUUUAUUAUGCAGUGAUAAAUAACGAUGAUAUGUGUCGGCAGAGAAAGAGACAUGCACAUCUCUCAGAGGACCUUGGAUCACUAUGACCCCCGUUUCCUUAACUUGGUUAUAACAUACUUCUUUGGAUUUUGUACUUUCAUCUUUAAUAAAUUCCAAUAAUUUUAAA